AUUGAACGCUGACGGCAGGCCUAACACAUGCAAGUCGAGCGGAUGAAGGGAGCUUGCUCCUGGAUUCAGCGGCGGACGGGUGAGUAAUGCCUAGGAAUCUGCCUGGUAGUGGGGGAUGACGUCCGGAAACGGGCGCUAAUACCGCAUACGUCCUGAGGGAGAAAGUGGGGGAUCUUCGGACCUCACGCUAUCAGAUGAGCCUAGGUCGGAUUAGCUAGUUGGUGGGGUAAAGGCCUACCAAGGCGACGAUCCGUAACUGGUCUGAGAGGAUGAUCAGUCACACUGGAACUGAGACACGGUCCAGACUCCUACGGGAGGCAGCAGUGGGGAAUAUUGGACAAUGGGCGAAAGCCUGAUCCAGCCAUGCCGCGUGUGUGAAGAAGGUCUUCGGAUUGUAAAGCACUUUAAGUUGGGAGGAAGGGCAGUAAGUUAAUACCUUGCUGUUUUGACGUUACCAACAGAAUAAGCACCGGCUAACUUCGUG
rnacentral:rRNA from 1 species